GACGAACGCUGGCGGCGUGCUUAACACAUGCAAGUCGAACGGUAAGGCCCUUCGGGGUACACGAGUGGCGAACGGGUGAGUAACACGUGGGUGAUCUGCCCUGCACUUCGGGAUAAGCCUGGGAAACUGGGUCUAAUACCGGAUAGGACCCUGGGAUGCAUGUCCUGGGGUGGAAAGCUUUUGCGGUGUGGGAUGGGCCCGCGGCCUAUCAGCUUGUUGGUGGGGUGAUGGCCUACCAAGGCGACGACGGGUAGCCGGCCUGAGAGGGGGAACGGCCAAACUGGGACUGGGAUCCGGCCCAGACUCCUACGGGAGGCAGCAGUGGGGAAUAUUGCACAAUGGGCGCAAGCCUGAUGCAGCGACGCCGCGUGAGGGAUGACGGCCUUCGGGUUGUAAACCUCUUUCAGCACCGACGAAGCGCAAGUGACGGUAGGUGCAGAAGAAGGACCGGCCAACUACGUGCCAGCCGCCGCCGUAA
rnacentral:rRNA from 1 species